CCAAGAACAUGGUAUUUAAGGACUAGAAGAGCCCAGCAGAUGUGUGCAGGAGGCAGCCCCAGCAGCCUCUUGCCCCUCAUAGAAUCACACAAGGUUGGAAAGGACCGACAAGAUCAUCUAGUCUCAGUUUGUGACCUCCUGGUGCAUGCUGCAGAAUGUAUCUCAGCCAAUUUCCUUCAGGAGCCAAGGAUCCUGUAUUUUUUAUCAUGUAUGGAGGAAAAAGUGACUGAACAGUUAGACUUCUGCAUUUGUCAAAGUCCUUGAUAUACAUUCUGUGUUUGGAAUGAAAAGAGCUGCUCAUCCGCAAAAGAGAGAAAUGAAGCCCAAGCGUUCAAGGAAAAUACACAGAUGACAUUUUGGAGCCCAGCAAAAUCAGUUAAAACGUCUGUGUUGGUGCCAACGGAACAAAAAUUAUGUCAGAAGUGUCUGCGUGGAGACGCCCUUAAUUACAGUUAUUUUAAAGAAGGCACCUCUGCUGUUAAAGUGUCAUCACAAGAAUCAUUAUGAAAUACAGAUUUAAGAAGGCAAUUUAAAAGGUUUUCAUCCAACAAAAAUUAAUCAGUGGAUACUUAUGAUCAGAUUUACUUUUGAAAGCACAGGAUUUUUAUAUUUAUUUUUGUCUCUUCAGUCCCUUGCUUUCGUUGUCUGUACAGUCCUUCUCAUUUAGGCCAAAAUAGAUUACACUGAGGUCUAGACAACGUGUAGUUCCUGAGAGGAUCCUAUUGAAUAACUGGAUGAUGAAAACAUACCCAUACUGGAGAUUUAUGGUUUGUCGUGUUCAUAGCUGGAUUAGAAAUCAGUCUGGCACUUUCCAGCAAUCCCUAGCUGGCUUCUUAUACAGAAAAUAAAAAUAGCAUCUACUGUAUACUUUGAAAGAUUUAGCUUAAACAAUUUUUUUCCCAUAUUUCUUGACAAGAUUCUCAAUUAAGGUAAACAUAUUUCUGUCAGAUUGAUGGAGAGAAUUGUCUUGAUUUCUCCCACUGAGUUUAACACCGGUGGCAUCUUACAGCCAAUUGCAAAUUACGACAUUCACACAGAUGAAGUGAAAAAACAGUUACGAAGCUACAGGUGUCAAUAAACUGUCAUUUUAUAAUCCUAUUUGCAAAAAAUGCAAAAAUUAAAAGACCUGACACUUUACACUGACAUGGUUAACCUGUUCACUUUUUCUUUGAUCUUCCAUCUGCUCUUCAUUUCAGUACCUGCCAGCUGAAGCAAAAAAUUGCUGCCUGAAGAUGAUAUAGCUGACAUCUAUAUUCUAGUAGUUCAAGCAAGCCAUGGUAUCCUGUGCAAUGGAUUACUGAGAAUGAGGUACUUUCAGAUGAUUUGUUUUAAGGUGUCAGAAAUCAGCAGACAGUUGUUGAAAGUCUUCCCCACUAGAACAAGGAUCUCUAAUCUUUUUACUCUAGCUGACACACAGAAGGAAAAAGCUCCAGGAGAUGGAAAGGUUCCCACCCAGAAGGCAAAAGGUAUACAGAGUGCUUGGGUGAAAACUGGCUCAGAAGCUGCAGUCACCAACUCCCUGCUCAAGUGCUGCUGUUAUCCAUCCAUGGUCUGGAUAACUUUUUGGACAGCAGUUUUGUUGGCAC
ensembl:lncRNA